rnacentral:rRNA from 1 species
UACAGAGGUCCCAAGCGUUGUUCGGAUUCAUUGGGCGUAAGGGGUGCGUAGGCGGCGCGGUAAGUCGGGUGUGAAAUCUUGGAGCUUAACUCCGAAACUGCAUUCGAUACUGCCGUGCUUGAGGACUGGAGAGGAGACUGGAAUUUACGGUGUAGCGGUGAAAUGCGUAGAUAUCGUAAGGAAGACCAGUGGCGAAGGCGGGUCUCUGGACAGUUCCUGACGCUGAGGCACGAAGGUCAGGGGAGCAAACGGG